rnacentral:lncRNA from 1 species
UCCCAUCAACUGUGCUCAGUGGAGAGGAUGUAACACUAGAUAAUGUGAAACAACAGCUGGUCAUUAGGGCUAUGCUACAGCUGUGACAAUAGAUAGGGUGGUGGUGUUUAGAAGGAUGUGAGAGUAUAUUUGUAAGAGCCUGAACACUGGACACAUUUAGUCCAAUGGUUCUCAAACUUAGUAAACUAUGAUCUAAUCCAUGUUAUUCUAUGCCUAUUAGAAUGGUAACUGAGCACCAUGUCUAGCUAUAACAGAUACAGUCAUGCUUUCCAGGGUCAGCACCUUAUGGUUAUAUCGGAAUUUGCACAUCAUUGUCAGAAGAGAAAAAACUGUCAAACCCUACUUUCCUUAUUUUUUGUAGUUGCUAUUAUACAGCCACUACCAAUUGCCUCAGUGCUUCACCCUAAGUGGGUAUAUAUAUGAGUCACAAAGGCAAUUGUCUGAUUAGUGGCUUUGGUACAGCAUAACCUGGACUUCUAAAAGACAUUGAAUCCUGGUGUCUUGAGGGAAUUGUGUAU